CCCCAUUAUGUAGAAAUAAUUCUAUGUCAUAAAUAUUCUUAUCUUUUUUCAAUUCAACCAGAUCACUCCCCGUAACACCUCGGAUUCAAAAGAUAAAAAAAAUUCUGUCUUUCCAAAAAUCUGGUGCCAGGACAGAUGGAGUUACUAACGGACCGUUAGUGGUAUCACGGUUCGUAGUUGAAAAGAAUUUCAGUUUUGAUCGAAGAAACUCACUGUUACUGUUAUUGAUCAAAGCAAAAGCUUCAUCGAUUCACCCAAAGCUUCGAGGUUUGUCUGUUACUGACCGGAGCUUCAGAGAGUAAAAAAUAUUCAGACCAAGCUCCGAGAAGAAAAGUUCAAAAUCUAAGCUUUGAGAAGAAACCUUCUAAAUAUAUCGAUGAUUUGACUUUUUAAAAUUUUGGCUUUGAUAGAUAUAUUUAUUUGGAUUUUGAUAGAUAUAGGGUAACUUGAGUAAAUGUUAAUGAGGGCUGGGUAAAUAUUUAUUUGGAUUUUUAUAGAUAUAGGGUAACUUGGGUAAAUGUUAAUGAGGGUCGGGUAAAUAUUUAUAUGUGGACAAUCACACCAGCCAUCUUUUCACUGUUGAUAGCGUGUGUAUAAUGAUUGAAGUCUUUGGACGAUAUCAUAUAAAAAAUCAAGUUCAAUGUAUAUUUAAAUCUUGUUGUAGUUAAGAUGUUCAUUGAAUAAAGAGUUACAAGUUCAGAGGGUAUUUAACACUUCUCUCUUUUAUGUAUUGAACGCAAAGUUGAUUGACCACUCAUUAAAUUUAUUAAAACAUGUAAUGUAACGAUCCACAAGGUCGUUUUGUUCUUUUAGAUUCAUUUAUCCAGUUUGUACCUUUCUCUAUUUUGUUUAUGACCUGCGAGAAUAGGAAACAUGAUUUUCACG
rnacentral:lncRNA from 1 species